UAGGGAAUCUUCGGCAAUGGGGGGAACCCUGACCGAGCAACGCCGCGUGAGUGAAGAAGGUUUUCGGAUCGUAAAGCUCUGUUGUUAAGGAAGAACGAGUGUGAGAAUGGAAAGUUCAUGCUGUGACGGUACUUAACCAGAAAGGGACGGCUAACUACGUGCCAGCAGCCGCGGUAAUACGUAGGUCCCGAGCGUUGUCCGGAUUUAUUGGGCGUAAAGCGAGCGCAGGCGGUUAGAAAAGUCUGAAGUGAAAGGCAGUGGCUCAACCAUUGUAGGCUUUGGAAACUGUUUAACUUGAGUGCAGAAGGGGAGAGUGGAAUUCCAUGUGUAGCGGUGAAAUGCGUAGAAAUAUGGAGGAACACCGGUGGCGAAAGCGGCUCUCUGGUCUGUAACUGACGCUGAGGCUCGAAAGCGUGGGGAGCGAACAGG
rnacentral:rRNA from 1 species